rnacentral:rRNA from 1 species
GACGAACGCUGGCGGCGCGCCUAACACAUGCAAGUCGAACGAGCGAGAGAGAGCUUGCUUUCUCGAGCGAGUGGCGAACGGGUGAGUAACGCGUGAGGAACCUGCCUCAAAGAGGGGGACAACAGUUGGAAACGACUGCUAAUACCGCAUAAGCCCACGACCCGGCAUCUGGUAGAGGGAAAAGGAGCAAUCCGCUUUGAGAUGGCCUCGCGUCCGAUUAGCUAGUUGGUGAGGUAACGGCCCACCAAGGCGACGAUGGUAGCCGGACUGAGAGGUUGAACGGCCACAUUGGGACUGAGACACGGCCCAGACUCCUACGGGAGGCAGCAGUGGGGAAUAUUGCACAAUGGGGGAAACCCUGAUGCAGCGACGCCGCGUGGAGGAAGAAGGUCUUCGGAUUGUAAACUCCUGUUGUUGAGGAAGAUAAUGACGGUACUCAACAAGGAAGUGACGGCUAACUACGUG